rnacentral:lncRNA from 1 species
GUACCACCGUGUUUAGGCCUUGUUUAGUUGACGAAAAUUUUUAAGUUUCGUUAUUAUAGCAUUUUUAAUUUUAUUUGAUAAUUAUUAUUUAAUUAUAGAGUAAUUAGGUUUAAAAAAUUCGUCUCACAAAUUAUAAGUAAACUGUGUAAUUACUUAUCUUUUUUAUCUAUAUUUAAUACUUCAUACAUGUGCCACAAGAUUUAAUGUGACGAAGAAACUUGAAAAAUUUUGGAAACUAAACAAGGCCUUAGAUCUGGAAUCAGCAAUUCAGCAGGUACCACUGUACCACACGCAUUAUCGGCUGUGCCAUUAAAAAAAAAUCUAUCGAUCUGGAAAAGGAGAAGGGGCAGCACUGUUAUGGAACGUGAGGGCAGGUCCUCCGAUCUUGGCCGCCACUACCAGUGGCCAGUGACGUACUACAAACAGCUGCGAGC